AUGGCAGUGUUUCAUGACGAGGUGGAAAUCGAGGACUUCCAAUAAGACGAGGACUCGGAGACGUAUUUCUAUCCCUGCCCAUGUGGAGAUAACUUCUCCAUCACCAAGGAAGAUUUGGAGAAUGGGGAAGACGUUGCAACGUGUCCUAGCUGCUCUCUCAUUAUAAAAGUGAUUUAUGACAAAGAUCAGUUUGUGUGUGGAGAAACAGUCCCAGCCCCUUCAGCCAACAAAGAAUUAGUUCAAUGCUGAAGAAGCCUUCAGGAAUCCAAAUCCUGAACAUUUGGAAAUGAGCCCAGAUAGAAGUAUCAAAUGCAGAGCUCCUGGCUUCACAGAGACAACCAUUUGUGAUUUGCUGUUCUGUGAGAGUGUGGAUUCUUUCCAUCAGCUGCUGAGUUCAUCUUCAGGAAGCAAGUCCAGAACAUGACAUAUCUGGAUUUUGUGCUUAGAACCUUAAACUGGAAGCAUUCUUAAUGAGCCAUCUAAAUUUAAAAGAAGAUAAUUUCAAAACAGUGCUUUCUUUCCCUUGGUUUCAUCAUUUUCAUAUUUUAAACCAAAUUCCUUCAGUAUCGGAUAACAGCAUCAUCUACCUCAGUCAUUAGGAUUUCUUAAUAAAAAAGAG